rnacentral:rRNA from 1 species
GAUGAACGCUGGCGGCGUGCCUAAUACAUGCAAGUCGAGCGAACAGACGAGGAGCUUGCUCCUCUGACGUUAGCGGCGGACGGGUGAGUAACACGUGGAUAACCUACCUAUAAGACUGGGAUAACUUCGGGAAACCGGAGCUAAUACCGGAUAAUAUAUUGAACCGCAUGGUUCAAUAGUGAAAGACGGUUUUGCUGUCACUUAUAGAUGGAUCCGCGCCGCAUUAGCUAGUUGGUAAGGUAACGGCUUACCAAGGCAACGAUGCGUAGCCGACCUGAGAGGGUGAUCGGCCACACUGGAACUGAGACACGGUCCAGACUCCUACGGGAGGCAGCAGUAGGGAAUCUUCCGCAAUGGGCGAAAGCCUGACCGAGCAACGCCGCGUGAGUGAUGAAGGUCUUCGGAUCGUAAAACUCUGUUAUUAGGGAAGAACAAAUGUGUAAGUAACUAUGCACGUCUUGACGGUACCUAAUCAGAAAGCCACGGCUAACUACGU